rnacentral:lncRNA from 1 species
AGCCCUAGGAGCUCCCCUCAACUGCAGAAGGAGGAAGAACUGGGCUGGAGUGCAGUGGAAGAUGAAAGGAGGCAUCAUGCAAAGCCAGGCGUGAGCCCUGCAAGUGGCAGGGAUUCAGCAGUGAUGGGUCUGUGGCUACCCCAGGAGUUUAUCAUGAGCCACACUGGGAGUGGUGUACAAGAGAAAUCUGGCGGUGGCAAAAAGGACCUGACCCGUUCCCAGGCUGAACUUCCUGGGGCUGUAUACUUUG